GACGUAGGGCGCGAGCGUGUCCGGAUUUAUUGGGCGUAAAGAGCUCGUAGGCGGCUUGUUACGUCGUUCGUGAAAACUUGGGGCUCAACCCCAAGCUUGCGGUCGAUACGGGCAGGCUAGAGUUCGGUAGGGGAGACUGGAAUUCCUGGUGUAGCGGUGAAAUGCGCAGAUAUCAGGAGGAACACCGGUGGCGAAGGCGGGUCUCUGGGCCGAUACUGACGCUGAGGAGCGAAAGCGUGGGGAGCGAACAGG
rnacentral:rRNA from 1 species